rnacentral:rRNA from 1 species
UUACCUACGGGAGGCAGCAGUAGGGAAUUUUCGUCAAUGGGCGCAAGCCUGAACGAACAAUGCCGCGUGAACGAGGAAGGUCUUCGGAUCGUAAAGUUCUGUUGAAGGGGAAAAAGAGCGGAGAGAGGAAAUGGUCUCCGAUUGAUAUUACCCUUCGAGGAAGUCACGGCUAACUACGUGCCAGCAGCCGCGGUAAUACGUAGGUGGCAAGCGUUGUCCGGAUUUAUUGGGCGUAAAGCGAGUGCAGGCGGGUCAAAAAGUCUG